rnacentral:rRNA from 1 species
UGGGGAAUAUUGCACAAUGGGCGCAAGCCUGAUGCAGCAACGCCGCGUGAACGAUGAAGGUCUUCGGAUCGUAAAGUUCUGUUGCAGGGGAAGAUAAUGACGGUACCCUGUGAGGAAGCCCCGGCUAACUACGUGCCAGCAGCCGCGGUAAUACGUAGGGGGCUAGCGUUAUCCGGAUUUACUGGGCGUAAAGGGUGCGUAGGUGGUCUUUCAAGUCGGUGGUUAAAGGCUACGGCUCAACCGUAGUUAGCCUCCGAAACUGGAAGACUUGAGUGCAGGAGAGGAAAGUGGAAUUCCCAGUGUAGCGGUGAAAUGCGUAGAUAUUGGGAGGAACACCAGUAGCGAAGGCGGCUUUCUGGUCUGUAACUGACGCUGAGGCUCGAAAGCGUGGGGAGCGAACAGG